CGGGAACGGUCGAGGACAGGAAGUGAGUCAUCACAAACUGGGACCUCCACCACAUCUAGCAGAAAUGCACGAAGGAGAGAGAGUGAGAAGUCUCUAGAAAAUGAAACACUCAAUAAGGAGGAAGAUUGCCACUCUCCAACUUCUAAACCUCCCAAACCUGAUCAGCCCCUAAAGGUAAUGCCAGCCCCUCCACCAAAGGAGAAUGCUUGGGUGAAGCGAAGUUCUAACCCUCCUGCUCGAUCUCAGAGCUCAGACACAGAGCAGCAGUCCCCUACAAGGUGAGUCAGUUUGGAAACAGUAGUUGGUUAACUGCAGAUUCUAAAAUACUGUGAUGUAAUGAUGGAAGAUCUCCUACGGGAUGCCAGCGUUGUAUAGCACCU
rnacentral:sRNA from 1 species